UUCUUAUCAAGAGAGGUGGAGGGAUUGGCCCUGCGAAACCUCGGCAACAGGCUCUGUGGAGUACUGUGCCAAAUCCAACAGACAUGUUAUUUGUCUGAAAGAUAAGAA
rnacentral:ncRNA from 2 species